AGAGUUUGAUCCUGGCUCAGGACGAUUGCUGGCGGCGUGCCUAACACAUGCGAGUCGAGCGGAGACUUAACGAAUGAAGUUUUCGGAUGGAUUUUGUUAAGUUUUAGCGGCGGACGGGUGAGUAACGCGUGAGCAACCUGCCCUCUACUGGGGAACAACACAUCGAAAGAUGUGCUAAUACCGCAUAAGACCACAGUACUGACAUGGUACAGGGGUCAAAGGAGCAAUUCGGUAGAGGAUGGGCUCGCGUCUGAUUAGCUAGUUGGUGAGGUAACGGCCCACCAAGGCGACGAUCAGUAGCCGACCUGAGAGGGUGAUCGGCCACAUUGGAACUGAGAAACAGUCCAAUACUCCUACGGGAGGCAGCAGUGGGGAAUAUUGGGCAAUGGGCCCCAGCCUGACCCAGCAACGCCGCGUGAAGGAAGAAGGUUUUCGGAUCGUAAACUUCUAUCCUUGGUGAAGAUAAUGACGGUAGCCAAGAAGGAAGCCCCGGCUAACUACGUGCCAGCAGCCGCGGUAAUACGUAGGGGGCAAGCGUUGUCCGGAAUGAUUGGGCGUAAAGGGCGCGUAGGCGGCCAACUAAGUCUGGAGUGAAAGUCCUGCUUUUAAGGUGGGAAUUGCUUUGGAAACUGGAUGGUUUGAGUGCAGGAGAGGUAAGCGGAAUUCCCGGUGUAGCGGUGAAAUGCGUAGAGAUCGGGAGGAACACCAGUGGCGAAGGCGGCUUACUGGACUGUUACUGACGCUGAGGCGCGAAAGUGUGGGGAGCAAACAGGAUUAGAUACCCUGGUAGUCCACACUGUAAACGAUGAAUGC
rnacentral:rRNA from 1 species